GAUGAACGCUAGCUACAGGCUUAACACAUGCAAGUCGAGGGGCAGCAGGGAUUUAGCUUGCUAAAUCCGCUGGCGACCGGCGCACGGGUGCGUAACGCGUAUCCAACCUUCCCGUUACUCUUGGAUAGCCUUCCGAAAGGGAGAUUAAUACAAGAUGGUAUUCAAAUUCCGCAUGUUAUUUGAAUUAAAGAUUUAUCGGUAACGGAUGGGGAUGCGUGACAUUAGAUAGUAGGCGGGGUAACGGCCCACCUAGUCUACGAUGUCUAGGGGUUCUGAGAGGAAGGUCCCCCCACACUGGAACUGAGACACGGUCCAGACUCCUACGGGAGGCAGCAGUGAGGAAUAUUGGUCAAUGGUCGGAAGACUGAACCAGCCAAGUAGCGUGAAGGAUGAAGGUUCUAUGGAUUGUAAACUUCUUUUAUACGGGAAUAAAACCUCCACGUGUGGGAGCUUGUAUGUACCGUAUGAAUAAGCAUCGGCUAACUCCGUG
rnacentral:rRNA from 1 species